GGUUGUGCUGGAGGUUUUGAAGAGUGAGACUUUGGCCCCAGGUCUCCUGCCUGAGAGCUGCGUAAACCUAGAGCCUUGUCUCACAGAGCCCCUGUUCCCACAGCAUUAAAGUGGAGAUGACAGAGUCCCUCCUGGAGAGCCGGUCUAGCCAUUCAGUGAGUCAGCAGCACAGCUCCUCCAGCACGCAGAGAACAGCGGUCCAUGGAGGGAGGGCGUGAGCCUGGGGUUUUACUGAGGAAGGAUAGUGGGUUUUUCAGUCCCUGAAGCUGCUGCUCUGCCCACUCAGGAAGGUGAGGAAGGCAGACGACAGCGUACAUCCAGCCUCUGCUCUGCCAGGGUCGUUGAUGCCCUUUGGAAUGGAGAGCUGUGAAGGGGAAUGCCUAGGCCUCACAGAGGAGGCUCGUGACCCGGACAGGUGUGGGACUAGGGGCCAUGUCUGUAGCUCCCCUGCCACGGAGCAGAAUCUGCCUCUCCAUAAGCGUUAAGCUCUGGGGACUGUGACAUCCACGCUGGGCCUGGCUCCUGCCUUCCGCCUCCUGCCCAGCCCCUGCCAGCAGCACAUGGUGGAGACCGGUUGCCCAAAGCUCUUGUUCUCAGAUGUGGGCAGAACGGGAAUCUGCCAUGUGCCCGUGGAUUAAAAAAAAGAAACCCAGGCUGCUUUUCUGUCUGUUAGAAGGAGCCUGCACUUCAAGAUAGUGGGGAUGUAUAUUUUAAAAAAUUUCACGCUCAUGGGCCAAAGAUUUUCCCGGGGCUGUGUGCUGAUUUGCAGCCUAUCAUGUGUGGCUUUGGGACACUGGGGAAGGUGUGGAGCAGUUUAAGUGACAAACGGGUUGGAAAAGCAAAGGACACCAGGUGAGGAUGAUGGAAUUUACAUCCUGUUGCUUCCCUGAUAGUUCCUGCCAAUAUGGGAUCCCACUACUAUCUUUCUGCCCUAAAAAUAUGUGUAUAUUGAGAUAGAAACUGUUGUAAUGGCUGCAUGCAUUCAGUAGAGGAAAGGAGAGAAGAAAGAAGGAACAGAUUUAGUCCUGCCCAGAAUCUGCACUUCCACGGAGGACGCCAGGAUAUCACGGGAGAGACUGCAGCUCUGAUCAAAUGGGGCGAGCUCUUGGCAGGAGCCAGCAUGUUCCUGUGUUCCAUUUGGGAGGACAGUUUACUUUAAUGAUGUACUUUGAAAUCAGGUGGACGUCUGUAACUCCUGGACCUUUCGCAGCCUUUCCAGCCACGGUCAUCUCUGUGGAGUCAGGGGCAGGGACUUUGGGAUCAGCUUCUGCCCUUGUGAAAACAGCAGAGCAGCCUGAGAGCCAGGAAGGACCUCACCUGAGUAUCAGAUCACCUCAUCAGGCUGAAUUGUGUGGAUCUAGGGAUUUUAAAGAGGUGAUUAAGGUAAAAUGAGGUUAUUAGGGUGGCCCUUGACCCAGUGUGACUGGUAUCCUCAUAAGAGGAGAUUAGGACACAGCCACACAGAGGGACGACCACCUGAGGAUCCCUGAGAAGAUGGCAUCUGGAAGGUGAGGAGAGAGGCCUCAGAAGGAAUCAACUCUGCUGAUACUUGAUGCCAACUUCCAGCCUCUGAAACUGCGAGCAAGGUGGUUUGUUAUUCAGCAAUGGAUAAUUAGAGCACUGACUCACCUUGAUGGGCCUCAUCAUCAUUCAUCCAGAAAUCUUUUAUUGAGAAAAAUAAUAUUUGCCAUGUUGUGCAAGGAGUUGGGGUUGCAAAGCUGGGUGCUGUGAUCUAUAACACAAGGCAGCAGGAUUGUCUGACCUCCGAGAGCCAUGUGCCCUGGGAUCAUCUGGCCACAGUUAUCUCACAGAAUUCCUAAUGCACAGUCUGUGUGGGAGGUGAUGCCGGAGUCCCCCCUCCCUCUGGGCUCCUCCCCGUGCUCUGCUCACAUCACUGGGGGGUUGGCGGCAGCCUGCUGAGUCCUUUCGACCCUCAGCCCGCUCUCCAGCACUCAGACUGGCCGAAACCUGUGCCGCUGGCUCCACCCUCAGGUCUCCCCACUCCUCUCAUUAGCCACCGGCCUUCUCAGCCUUCUCUUAUUCUUGUGACUCUUGCCUGACCCUGCCUCAGCUCUGUGUCCUCCCAGACUGCUGACUGUGAGGCUUUGCCCAGCGGAUUUUCCAUCGCCAAAUUAGAGCUUUUCUUUCCUCGCCUGACUGCUCCCUGUCACUGUCUUCUGUAUCUUCCUGUUCCUGAUUUUGGCUGGCUAUCAAGAGAAGAAGAUCUACAAUCAUCCUAUCUCUCAUGGCACCUUACCAUGUGCAACUCCCUCGUAUCUAAUACCUCACUUCACCUUUUCUGUUCUUCUAUUUAUGAGCUACGUGAUGUCAGACAAGGCACUUAACUACUCUGGGCUUUGGCUCCCUUAUUUAACGAUAGGUAUCAUAAUAAUACCUGUCCUGUCCAAUUUA
rnacentral:lncRNA from 1 species